AGGAUAAACGCUGGCGGCGUGCAUGAGACAUGCAAGUCGAACGGACACUUGGGGCUUGCUCCAAGUGUUAGUGGCGGACGGCUGAGUAACGCGUAGGUGACCUGCCCCGAAGUGGGGAAUAACUGCCCGAAAGGGUGACUAAUACCGCAUGUGGUGGUGUGUUCAUUCACACCAGUAAAGCCGCAAGGCGCUUCGGGAGGGGCCUGCGUCCGAUUAGCUCGUUGGUGGGGUAACGGCUCACCAAGGCGACGAUCGGUAGGUGGUCUGAGAGGACGAUCACCCAGACUGGGACUGAGACACGGCCCAGACUCCUACGGGAGGCAGCAGUCGGGAAUUUUGCGCAAUGGACGAAAGUCUGACGCAGCAACGCCGCGUGAGGGAUGAAGGCCUUCGGGUUGUAAACCUCUUUUAUCAGGGAAGAUAAUGACGGUACCUGAUGAAUAAGUCACGGCUAACUACGUGCCAGCAGCCGC
rnacentral:rRNA from 1 species